rnacentral:rRNA from 1 species
GGCGGUAAUACGUAGGGCGCAAGCGUUGUCCGGAAUUAUUGGGCGUAAAGAGCUCGUAGGCGGCUUGUCGCGUCGGUUGUGAAAGCCCGGGGCUUAACCCCGGGUCUGCAGUCGAUACGGGCAGGCUAGAGUUCGGUAGGGGAGAUCGGAAUUCCUGGUGUAGCGGUGAAAUGCGCAGAUAUCAGGAGGAACACCGGUGGCGAAGGCGGAUCUCUGGGCCGAUACUGACGCUGAGGAGCGAAAGCGUGGGGAGCGAACAGGAUUAGAUACCCUGGUAGUCCACGCCGUAAACGGUGGGAACUAGGUGUUGGCGACAUUCCACGUCGUCGGUGCCGCAGCUAACGCAUUAAGUUCCCCGCCUGGGGAGUACGGCCGCAAGGCUAAAACUCAAAGGAAUUGACGGGGGCCCGCACAAGCAGCGGAGCAUGUGGCUUAAUUCGACGCAACGCGAAGAACCUUACCAAGGCUUGACAUACGCCGGAAAGCAUCAGAGAUGGUGCCCCCCUUGUGGUCGGUGUACAGGUGGUGCAUGGCUGUCGUCAGCUCGUGU